GACGAACGCUGGCGGCGUGCUUAACACAUGCAAGUCGAACGGUAAGGCCCUUCGGGGUACACGAGUGGCGAACGGGUGAGUAACACGUGGGUGAUCUGCCCUGCACUUCGGGAUAAGCCUGGGAAACUGGGUCUAAUACCGGAUAGGACCACUGCCUGCAUGGGUGGCGGUGGAAAGCUUUUGCGGUGUGGGAUGGGCCCGCGGCCUAUCAGCUUGUUGGUGGGGUGAUGGCCUACCAAGGCGACGACGGGUAGCCGGCCUGAGAGGGUGACCGGCCACACUGGGACUGAGAUACGGCCCAGACUCCUACGGGAGGUAGCAGUGGGGAAUAUUGCACAAUGGGCGCAAGCCUGAUGCAGCGACGCCGCGUGAGGGAUGACGGCCUUCGGGUUGUAAACCUCUUUCAGCACCGACGAAGCGCAAGUGACGGUAGGUGCAGAAGAAGGACCGGCCAACUACGUGCCAGCAGCCGCCGUAA
rnacentral:rRNA from 1 species